rnacentral:rRNA from 1 species
GACGAACGCUGGCGGCGUGCUUAACACAUGCGAGUCGAACGGAAAGGCCCUGCUUUUGUGGGGUGCUCGAGUGGCGAACGGGUGAGUAACACGUGAGUAACCUGCACUUGACUUUGGGAUAACUUCAGGAAACUGGGGCUAAUACCGGAUAGGAGCUCCUGCUGCAUGGUGGGGGUUGGAAAGUUUCGGCGGUUGGGGAUGGACUCGCGGCUUAUCAGCUUGUUGGUGGGGUAGUGGCUUACCAAGGCUUUGACGGGUAGCCGGCCUGAGAGGGUGACCGGCCACAUUGGGACUGAGAUACGGCCCAGACUCCUACGGGAGGCAGCAGUGGGGAAUAUUGCACAAUGGGCUGAAGCCUGAUGCAGCAACGCCGCGUGCGGGAUGACGGCCUUCGGGUUGUAAACCGCUUUCGCCUGUGACGAAGCGUGAGUGACGGUAAUGGGUAAAGAAGCACCGGCUAACUACGUG